rnacentral:rRNA from 1 species
GAUGAACGCUGGCGGCGUGCCUAAUACAUGCAAGUCGAGCGAACAGACGAGGAGCUUUCUCGUCUGACGUUGUCGGCGGACGGGUGAUGAACACAUGGAUGACCUACCUAUAAGACUGGGGUAACUUCGGGGAACCGUGUCUAAGACCGGAUAAUAUAUUGAACCUCAUGGUUCAAGAGUUAAAGACGGUUUUUCUGUCACUUAUAGAUUGAUCCGCGACGGAUUAGCUAGUUGGUAAGGUAACUGCUUACCAAGGCAACGAUGCGUAGCCGACCUGGGAGGGUGACAGGCCUCACUGGAGAGGAGAAACGGUCACGCCUCCUCCGGGAGGCAGCCGUAGGGCCUACUCCGCGAUGCGGGAAAGAAUGACGGAGCAACGCCGCGUGAGUGAUGAAGGUCUUCGGAUUGUAAAACUAUGUUAUUAGGGAAGAAAAAAUGUGUAAGUAAGUAUGAUAGUCUCGACAGUAGGUAAACAGAAACCGACGAACAACUAC